rnacentral:tRNA from 1 species
GCCACGGUGGUCUAGCGGUUAGAACGCAGGCCUUGUAAUCCUGGGGUCUCGGGUUCGAUUCCCGGUGGUGCCC